GUGUCAGCAGCCGCGGUAAUACAGAGGGUGCAAGCGUUAAUCGGAAUGACUGGGCGUAAAGGGCGCGUAGGCGGAUAUGCAAGUCAGAUGUGAAAGCCCCGGGCUUAACCUGGGAUGUGCAUCUGGGACUGUAUAUCUGGAGUAGAGCAGAGGGAAGUGGAAUUUCCGGUGUAGCGGUGAAAUGCGUAGAUAUCGGAAAGAACAUUAGUGGCGAAGGCGACUUUCUGGGCUCAUACUGACGCUGAGGCGCGAAAGCGUGGGUAGCAAACAGGAUUAGAUACCCUGGUAGUCCAUGCUGUAAACGAUGAAGACUAGAUGUUGUCGGGGUAAGCCUGGCGGUAUCGAAGCAAACGCGAUAAGUCUUCCGCCUGGGGAGUACGGUCGCAAGAUUAAA
rnacentral:rRNA from 1 species